UCCGUAGGCGGAAUGGAAAGUCAGAUGUAAAAGUCCUGGGCUCAACCUGGGAAUGCCAUUUGAAACUGUCAUUCUAGAGUAUAGGAGAGGAAAGGGGAAUUUCUGGUGUAGCGGUGAAAUGCGUAGAUAUCAGAAGGAACGCCAAUGGCGAAGGCAACUUUCUGGCCAAAUACUGACGCUGAGGGACGAAAGCAUGGUUAGCGAACA
rnacentral:rRNA from 1 species